rnacentral:lncRNA from 1 species
AAUUCCUUUCCCUUUUGCUUUGUUCCUUCUAAAAUAUUAAACCGUAGCAAGAGUGCACAUUUAUCAUGCUAGUCCCCAGAGAGUAGUUAUGUAAGGUUCCAUCAAACUGCAUUUCCUGGUUCUUCCUUAAGGUCAUUAAGAGGCUCCUCAUUAGUAGCUUCUAGAACUUGAAGGUGGGAUAUGCAUUAGUGGCACAGGAGGGGUGGGAACAAUCAGAAGGGGUGGGAACCUUAAGGAAGCUCUGCAUUUAGCUGGCUUGUCUGCUGAUGCCGUUUAAGCUUGUCUUGAGGUAGAGGUCUCCCAGAUGCUCCUCUCAGAUCCAGUUCUAAUGUUAAGGCUAACUGGAUAUGGUCUGCUUUACAGAGUUCUGCCUCAGGUUGGGGUGUGUGGAUCAAGAAUAUUCUGCAAACUCAGGUACUCUUCACUGUUCUUUCUGACUGUUGGGUUCCUAGAGGACUCAGAGAUGGAGUUUAGUGAUUAGAAUGGUUAAGUGCCCUGGAGAGCAACACCUUAUGAAUGGGAGAGGCAGGAAGCCUGAGUGGGCCAGGGAAGAAGUUAAGCUGUGAUGCAGGCCCAACAAUUUUGUCUAACUCCUUGGAGUUAGAAUGGCCCUAGAGUCAUCCCCCCCAGGUGGACUGAGAUGGCCUGGACUCUAACAUACCAAAUCAUUCUGUGUUUGGAUGUGCACCACUCUGGAAAGGGCAUGGCUUGGGGUGAGGUGGCUCUUUUUGGUCUUGGCAGUCUCUGAAGGAGCUGAUGGCAUUCCAGGCAGCAGAGAUAGUGACGCCUUCAUUGAAGGGGAAUCCUAGUAUCCAACACAUCGACUCUUGCAUGGGAGGAAAAGGCUUUCUUUCUACCUGUCCAUGUUUUUGGCUAGGACAUCUGUAACAAAAGACAGAUUAAUAAGAGGAAAACAAACAACUUUAUUAACAUGUUUAUUUCAUAUAAACCUAAGAGAAAUCUAGGGAAUGAGUAACCCAAAGAGAUGGCUUAGAUUUCAGUCUUCAAUACCAUCUUCUGCUAAAACAAAGAAAAGUGUGUUGGGGAGACAAGUUUUAAGAAGGUGACCAGGAAAUGUCUAAUAAACAAGGGUAAGGUUGUUGUGCAGAUUUAAGUCUGUGCCUUUUUUAUUGAUAAGUUUCUUCUGAUUUAGAGUUAUCCUUCUCUUUCUGGUACCAAGUAGGAGACAUUUUUACAAACGGAGGUUUCCUUAAUGUAAAUAGGUAACUUCUUGCCUGUUUUCAGAGCUUCUCCUCUGCCUGCCGUUUCUCAAAAUAAUCAACUCAAAAUAAUUAUUAUGCUCCAAAGGUGUAUUUUAGGGGGUUAUAUUCUGGUCUUCUAUACCCUCCAUAAUCUGGGAGCUUUAUAUAGGUUGUAUGAUCAAGAGGAGUACUCAAAUGAUGGAUUAACACAUAGUUGGAGUAAAUAACACAGUGGAGCGCUAGAGCAGCUUGUCCCGCUCUGAGAGCUGAUUAUUAAUUAAAUAUCCAGGCAUUUUUGCAAGCCAGCUGCUAAAACAUUAGCAGCUUGAAAUGGGCCAUGAUAGGAGUAUUUAGAUCACAGAAAUUGUCAAAUGCUGCAGAUGGGGUUUGUGGGCUUUUUUUUUUGCCUCCAGAGAGAUAAUUUACCAGUACACUAGUGAAUAUAUGCUUAUAUCAUUGCACUUUUAGGAGAACUGGAAAUAUCCACACAUCUCACUUUUCAUCUCACAGGAAAGUUCUUUCCCACAUGAUGAUUAUCUUAAAAUUCUACUGUUAGAUCUUCAUGUCUUCAAUUUGAACUGACUGCCUCUAAGGUGAUAUAGAGAAAUGUGUGAGUUUUGUCUUAGUGCUGUUGGGAAGCUAUAACAAAAAUACCUUAGCCUGGGUAACUUAAACAAAAAACUUUUAUUAAGUUUUAGAGGCUGGAAAGCCCAGGAUUAAGGCACCAACAUAUUUGAUGUCUGGUAAGAACUAACUUCCUGAUUCAUAAUUGCCUGUCUUCCUGCUAUAUGUCCUUAGGUGGUGGAAACAAUGAGAGAGCUCUCUCAGUUUUCUUUUAUAAGGGCACUAAUCCCAUUUAUGAGGAUUCUUCUCUCAUGACAUAAUCAUCUCCCAAAGGCCUCACCUCCUUGUACCAAGGAGGUGGUUAGAUUUCAACAUAUGAGUUUUGAGGAAAACGAGUAUUCAGUCUAUUGCAGUUUUGCAGUUAAUACUUGGGCUGAAACAUAUCUCUGCCACUUCUAGCAUUGAGACCUUGGAGAAGUUAACUUCUCAUAUAUAUAUUUUUUAAUCUAUAAAACUGAGAUCAUGUAAAUAUUACUGUACUUCCUUAACAUCUGCCCUUGGCAAGCAUGGAUUUCCUCUUUGGGACAAAGUUUGAGGUGGGCAUGUUGGGGGAAGUUUGUUGUUGUUUUUUAAUACAUCAUUUUUAAGGUGAAUGCUCUGUUUGAAAAACACAUCAUUUUAAUUUUAAAUCAAGCUGUUUGGCAUCUAUUUUCUGCUGAUUUCAGCACCUCCCUCCACUUCCCCCAAAUCCCCUCAAGCAUGCCUGCUGUGCCUGUGGUCCUUGCUGACUCAGCCCUUCCCUAUCCAGCUUCCCCAGGCCAAUUGCUCCCUGGUGAGGUCUUGUGAUGGGGAAGCUGCACGCAAAUUCAGAAAAAUUGUAAGGCAAAAAAGAAACUCUGGGGGAUUGUGAUGCUCCUGUUAUAUGUGAGAAAAAGAAUGUACUAUAUAUAUAUACAAAUGAGUCACUUUUCUGUACAGCAGAAAUUGACAGAACAUUGUAAAUCAACUAUAAUAAAUUUUUUUUAAUUCCAAAAAAAUGCAUAAGUAAAACUCUCUCAGCUUUCAGAAGUUCCCUUGUGGUGCAGUGGGUUAAAGAUCUGGUAUUGUCUGGCUUGGGUUGCUGCUGUGGCAUGGGUUCAAUCCCUAGCCCAGGAACUUCCACU